rnacentral:rRNA from 1 species
UUAGAGUUUGUAUUUCAUGCUCAGGACGAACGCUGGCGGCGUGCCUAAUACAUGCAAGUCGAGCGGACAGAUGGGAGCUUGCUCCCUGAUGUUAGCGGCGGACGGGUGAGUAACACGUGGGUAACCUGCCUGUAAGACUGGGAUAACUCCGGGAAACCGGGGCUAAUACCGGAUGGUUGUUUGAACCGCAUGGUUCAAACAUAAAAGGUGGCUUCGGCUACCACUUACAGAUGGACCCGCGGCGCAUUAGCUAGUUGGUGAGGUAAUGGCUCACCAAGGCAACGAUGCGUAGCCGACCUGAGAGGGUGAUCGGCCACACUGGGACUGAGACACGGCCCAGACUCCUACGGGAGGCAGCAGUAGGGAAUCUUCCGCAAUGGACGAAAGUCUGACGGAGCAACGCCGCGUGAGUGAUGAAGGUUUUCGGAUCGUAAAGCUCUGUUGUUAGGGAAGAACAAGUACCGUUCGAAUAGGGCGGUACCUUGACGGUACCUAACCAGAAAGCCACGGCUAACUACGUGCCAGCAGCCGCGGUAAUACGUAGGUGGCAAGCGUUGUCCGGAAUUAUUGGGCGUAAAGGGCUCGCAGGCGGUUUCUUAAGUCUGAUGUGAAAGCCCCCGGCUCAACCGGGGAGGGUCAUUGGAAACUGGGGAACUUGAGUGCAGAAGAGGAGAGUGGAAUUCCACGUGUAGCGGUGAAAUGCGUAGAGAUGUGGAGGAACACCAGUGGCGAAGGCGACUCUCUGGUCUGUAACUGACGCUGAGGAGCGAAAGCG